AACGAACGCUGGCGGCAUGCCUAACACAUGCAAGUCGAACGAAGGCUUCGGCCUUAGUGGCGCACGGGUGAGUAACGCGUGGGAACCUGCCCUUUGGUACGGAAUGACAUCGGGAAACUGAUGCUAAUCCCGUAUAUGGCUUUGGCUGAAAGAGUGAGCGCCGAAGGAGGGGCCCGCGUCUGAUUCGCGAGUUGGGGAGGUAGUGGCUCACCAAGGCGACGAUGAGUAGCUGGCCGGAGAGGAUGAGCAGCCACAGUGGGACGGAGACACGGCGCGGACCCCUACGGGAGGCAGCGGAGUGGAAUACGGGACAGGGGGGCCAACCCUGAUCCAGCAAGGCGGGGUGAGCGAUGGAGGCCUGCGCGUCGUAAAGCUCUUUUGGCAGGGACGAUGAUGACGGUACCUGCAGAAGAAGCCCCGGCUAACUGCGUGCCAGCAGCCGCCGCAGUAA
rnacentral:rRNA from 1 species